rnacentral:rRNA from 1 species
ACGAACGCUGGCGGCGUGCUUAACACAUGCAAGUCGAACGAGGCGAUGAAGCUUGCUUUGAGAACCGAGUGGCAAACGGGUGAGUAACGCGUAGACAACCUGCCGCAAAGAUGGGGACAACAGUCCGAAAGGACUGCUAAUACCGAAUGUUGUCAAGUUUCCGCAUGGGAGCUUGAUUAAAGAUGGCCUCUACUUGUAAGCUAUCGCUUUGCGAUGGGUCUGCGUCUGAUUAGCUAGUUGGUGGGGUAACGGCCUACCAAGGCGACGAUCAGUAGCCGGUCUGAGAGGAUGAACGGCCACAUUGGAACUGAGACACGGUCCAGACUCCUACGGGAGGCAGCAGUGGGGAAUCUUCCGCAAUGGGCGAAAGCCUGACGGAGCAACGCCGCGUGAGUGAAAGAAGGGUUUCGGCUCGUAAAGCUCUGUUGACGGGGACGAAUGUGCGAAAUGCGAAUAGUUUUUCGCAAUGACGGUACCCGUCGAGGAAGCCACGGCUAACUACGUGCCAGCAGCGGC